UUUGUCGUUUAAUAUUUUUACAUCAUAUGUUUUGAUCAAUGUUAUAUUUCGACGUUUUCUGGAGUUUCUUGGUUGUUUUUACUUUUAUUUUCGCAGUUUACCAUGCGUUUUAUGCCCCUUUACUUUAGGCUUUACCUGGUUAUAAAGAUGUACUGACAUUGAAAUCUUGCCAUUCAAUUAGAGAAUGAUGGUGUCAGGUAUCAUAUAAGCGUGCUUGAUGUGCGUUUGACGAUUGAGAAUUCAUCAGAGUGACGAAAUGGCUACGCCAAAUGGAUCUCACUCGCUUUCAGAAGGGGCAGAGAGCAUCCAUAAUGGUCAUAUGGUUAGAGAUACAUCGUGUACAUCAUCAGGAACCCAUCGGCAGAUAAUGAUGGAAGAAGUAGCACCUUCUGCUGCAAGCAUACUUGAUGCAGAAAUAUUUAGCUGGCAAGUUCCUUUGGAAUGGUUCACCACGAAACGACGGGGAAAGGAACGUGGUGACAAGGCUCUACCCAGAAGUGUUCGGAGAUAUUAUAAAACUCAAGAUGAGCUUAUUACGACUUUUGAAGAACUGCAACUGGAAGUUGAUGAUGCCAUGGAAAACACUAAUGAAAAGACCAGCUUGAGAAGAAAAGCAACUUUUAUGUCAAAAGUGUCAUUUGUGUGCAAUUUGUUUCUCCUAAUAAUUAAGACUGUAGCUGCAUGUUUGUCUGGAUCCCUGUCAGUGUUGUCAUCUGUGAUUGACAGUGGGGUUGAUUUAGCUUCUGGUAUCUUGAUCUGGUGGAGUAACCGAGCCAUCAAGAAAAGAGACUUGUACCAGUAUCCUCAAGGUCGAACUCGCCUUGAACCCAUAGCCAUAGUUAUACUGUCAGUGAUCAUGUCUCUUGCAUCAGUUCAGAUGGUACGAGAAGCAGUAGAAAAUAUAAUAUUUUAUACAGUACACAGUGGAAUAAUUAGGUUUCAAGCUGAAACUAUUGCUAUUUGUUUGGUUACCAUUGGAGUAAAGGUGACUCUCUAUGUAUUCUGUCGUCGCUUUAAAUCAAGUAGCCUUCAGGCCCUCUCUCAAGAUCAUAGAAAUGAUGUUUUGUCUAAUACUGUAGCCUUAGUUUGUGGAUACAUAGGAUAUGAAGUUUGGAGGUUUGCUGACCCACUUGGUGCUAUCAUAAUCAGCUUGUAUAUUAUUAUUAGCUGGGCUGUAACAGGUUGGGAACAAAUCAAAAUGCUGACUGGCCACACGGCUCGUCCAGAAUUCCUUAAGAAGAUUACUUGGAUUGCACUUAAUCAUCAUCAAAAAGUUUUGCUGAUUGACACUGUACGGGCAUUUCACUUUGGAAACAAUUUUUUAGUAGAAGUGGACAUCGUUCUUCCAGAAAAGCUUACAUUAAAAGAAUCUCAUGACAUUGGGGAAUCUCUCCAGCAUAAGAUUGAGAGGCUACCUGAAGUGGAAAGAGCUUUUGUUCACCUGGAUCAUGAAGCCAAUCAUGCCCCAUGGUCUGAGCACAAAAUUGUGUAACAGGGUCCAUGGUUCAUUACUCGUUUUAUAUACAUGAGGUGCAGUACAUUAAUUAUUCUAAGGCAAAUGUUAUAAUCUGUUAGAAUGUCUUUUAAAAAAUAUAAAGACAUAAUCCUUGAUAAAACUCCUUUUCAACAAAUGUUUUAUAGUAUUAAAGAAAGAUUUAAAAGUAGAUUAAUGUUGAUUCUGUUUCAUUUGUAGUUUUCUAAUUUCUAAUGUUUCUUAAACAACAACAAGAUGUACACUGCUUUAGCCACAAGAAUGAACUAAAUCUUUCUGUUUAACUGUUAAUAAAAAGAAUUACUUGUACAACCUGAAUUGAAUGAAAAAAACAAUCUGCUUGUAAGCUUUUUGGGAUCAACCUUUAUGCUUGUAAGGUAUUCUGUUUUAUAUAAAAAAUUAUGAUAAAAAAUUUCACAAACUAAAUCAAUUUCUGGUAAGAAUUGAGGUUUGUUACUACAGUUGGAUAUGUUUUUGUUUAAUGAGAAAUGAGCAUUUGAGUAUCAUUCAUGUUUAGUUUUAACUUCUUUAGAAAUUCAUUAUGAAUAGUAUGUCUUCUAAAUUAAGUAGAUCUUUUUUUCACGAAUGCAGAAGUACAUUUUCAGUGUAAGAAAAUAUUAACUUACCUCUCUCACACAAAAGGCUAGUACCCCACAUUGCACAGGUGGAGAGCCGAUUUCCUCCUCAUCCACUAGAUCAUGUUUCUAAAGAGACCUACUAUCACAAGGAAGAAAGUUUGGACUCUCAUUAUUCUGGCACCUUCCUUUUUUGAUCCAUCACAGUCUACACUCGUUCAGGAUAUUUCACCUCCCAUUCCUUUCCUACAGCUUGUCAGUCAGAUAUGUCAUGUUUUAGGUGUUUCCCCUAUAGCCUAUGAUUCUUCUCCUGUGGGGCUCAGAUCCUGGGGAUUGUAUCUGCUUCAAUCAGGCACAAUUUUCCAGGAUUCAACUUUCUCUAACUGAACUUUAUGCUACCUUUCCUCUGUCCAUUUAACAUAUUAAGCCUUUUGUCAACCUCCUGAUGUCAUUUCAGAAGAGCUCAGGACCCUCCUUUGGACCAUCAUGGCUCGUUUAUCUGCCUCUGCCCUUUCUCUCAAUACAAGGCUACUAUGCUGUUAGGACUUAUUAGGGAAGGAUGAUUUACUGGAAGGGGUUUGUCUCCCUCUUUCCUCCCUAAGAUAUCCCCAACAGGCCCAUUUUCUUUGUGAUUCCAUCAUUGGGGUCUUCCAGAUUGAUGUAGCUAGGUUACAUUUUUCCUUAUUCUCCAUAGCCACAUAUUUGUCUUGUCCUCCUGUAACCUCCCAUGAUUUGCCUAUCCUGGUUUUCUGCCCUCCUUCUUCCUCACCCCGUCCUUUACCUUCCUCAAGGCAUACCUGUCCCUAUCCUCAUUUUACUUGUGCCCGUUUGGACAGAUGCCAGCAUUAUUAGUGACAUGGCAGAGGUUCCCUGUCUCGUGGGGGCCAGGUUGCUCCGCUAUUGAACUGUGUGGUAACAUUUUAGCCUUCAGUUCUGGUUCCCACCCCUUUCCCCCUUCUCAGGAUCAUUCCUUUCUCAGUCAUGUUGCCAAGGUCGUUCUUGAGAUAUUGAGCAGGUGGUUCCCAUACAUCUGGGUUUUUAUUCCCGUUUCUUUGUGAUCCCCAGUAAAAUGGACGAUUGGAGACCAAUUAUCAAUCUGUCCUGGCUGAAUUCCUUUCUGGAGCCACCUCACUUCAUCAUGGAGUCCUAUCUCUCACUUUGGUGGGUGUUUUCCCCAGGACUCUGGAUGACCUAAUUCGACAUGACUGAGGCCUAUCUUCACAUUCCCAUUGCUCCAGAGUCACAUUGUUAUCUUUGGUUCAGCCACGAGGUUCAAGUGUUCCAGUUCAGGACACUGCUCUUUGGUCUCUCUUCAGCUCCUUCUUUGUUUUGUUGAGUGGUUCACCUCCACUCACUGGGUUUCUGCAAUCAUCAUUAUAUGGAUGACUGGCUCCUGCUCACAUUCGCAAUCAGUGAAUCACACACAUUUGCUUCUACAGGAAGCAGCACAGGAGAAGUCUAUUCUUACCCCCACUCAAUACCUAGUUCACUUGGGAUUUUUCUUCAAUUCACUCCUCAGUCAGGUCCAGCCUUCUCCUCUUCAUCUCUGGGAUAUGGAUCGGGCAGUCACAAAAGCCCUUACCUUUCCUAUUCUCACAGUUUGAGAGGUUUUAUCUCUUUUGAGGAUGUGGGCUUCCUUAGAAGCUCUCAUUUCUAUGUGUUGAGCUUAUAUGCAUUCACUUCAGUGGACACUUUUUGAUCAGUGGAACUUCUCCCUCUAUCCCUUAACUAUCCUAUUACCUUUCUCUGUUACCAAGGUGGACCUAGCUUUGUGGCUCAACAGGGAUCAGACCACGGUGGAGGUUCCCAUUUCUCCACCUCUUUCCAGAGUUACAUCUUUGGUGGGGUGGGAGCUUUCCUGAACUCUCAAGAAAUUUCUCGUCUGUGUUCUGUAGAUGAGUCUGCACUCCACAUCAACAUCCUUGAGCUUUUGGCAGUCUAUCAGGCUUUGACUCAUUUCCUUCCACUUCUAUGGGGGUGGGUGGUUAUGGUCCACUCCAACAAUUUCACGGGCAUUGAUUAUAUCACCAAGCAAGUUGGAAUCAAAUCCAGAUCUCUGUGUUUCUGGGCUCCGCAUCUUCUUUUCUGAGCCCACGAUCACAACAUGGAGGGGUUAGCUUGCCAUGGCAUUUUCCUGAAGCCAUGAAUCUGGUUGCAGAUCAUUUAUCUUGUUCGAACCAGGUUCUCCCCAUGGAGUGGUCUCUUCAUCUACGGGUUUUUCAGUGGGUGUGUUUUAAACUGGGGGGCAUUGCUUGUCAAUGCCUUUGCUACACACUGGAACACCAAACUUCCUUCCUUUUGGUCUCCCAUUACACACUCAUCAGCUCUGGGUGUAGAUGCAUUCAGUGAGUAUUGGAUAGGUUUUUACAUUUGUGCUUACUUUCCAAUCCAUCUCUUAUCCAAAGUUUUGUCCUCAUCCAGACUACUACUUGUUGCAUCCUGCUGGUUGGUUUGUAUUGCCCUGCACAGCCUUGGUUCCCUCUGCUUUGGCCUUUACUUGUGAAAUGUUCUUUGCCCUUACCUCUGUCUUGAUCUCUCCAUCUUCUUGCUUGGUUUUCAUUUGGUACCUUUCCACAGUCCAGAGACCGACUCCUCGCAUAGAGUCUUUCCUUUUCCGAACCAUCAGACCUUCUUUUUUGACCAUUUACCUUCCAAUGCUGGUAUUUUCGCUAUGGCUAUCAUUCCUCCUGUACUUCAGCUUUUUCAACUCUUCACUUGGUUGUUUGACCAGGACUUUUUUGUUUCAGAUGUGUCUAGUUGUCAGGUGGCUCUAUUGAACACCGUCUAUUUUUUCCCAAUUCCUUAACAUUUUCUUCUGCCCUGCCAUCACCCCCCUAUUUUUCAGUUCUUUCUGUAUUGCUCAUCCUCCAUGUCUCCCUGUGAACCACUUGCUAUGUGUUCCUUGUACCAUCUUUCCCUUAAGCCAUAUUUCCUUCUCCUCCUUGCCUGUGGAUGCCAUUGUUUCAAUAUUUAUGCCAUUAACAUUUAUGCUUUAUCAUUCCUCUUUGUGAUCCUCUACCCUGACCAGUCCAUCCUGCCUAAGACCUAUGUGACCCAGAAACGUGGUUUCUCACCCAUUUUCUUACCUUCCAUUUCCCACCUGUACUCAUGUUCCAAUCCAGAUAGGCUUCUAUGUCUGGUUUGAUCCUUGAGGUGUUAUAUGGCUUGUACUACCUCCUUUUGGGGUUCAUGUUUUCAACUAAUUAUUCCUUGGAACCUUUCUGCUUCCUGUGAUCUGUCUGCUGUAACUCGCACUGGUUGGGUACAUCAACUCUUUAGGAUCGCAAUUUGGACAUGGAAGGUCGCCCUCUCUACAAUGUCUUUUCACAUCAAAUUCAUCACAUUACCAUGAUUUUGGCUGGUCACCUUUGCCUCCCCUGGGAAGAAAUGGACCAGGCUGGUAUGUGGACAACUCUCAAUACCUUUGUUGAUCAUUAUCUGCACAAUCUGGCUGUUUCUUCCUCUGAAGGAUAUCGUCUUUCUCCUGUGGUGCACAUGGCCAUUUGGCUCUAACUGGGUAAGUCUGCUCAUUUCCUUUCUUUUAUGUUUUCUUUUCAUCUUCCCUAAACUUCUUUCGGGUUCCCACGUAGUUGCAGGUGUUGCUUUGUCUCAAACCUGCACUAAAUGCAGUAAGUAUAUAAUGCUCAAAGUUGAGAUGGGGUGUUUCUGUAAAACCACUGGGCACUUUCUCGGUGGUGUAUGUGUAUAUAUGUAUUUUAAUUAUAUCUUUAGUGGACCAUCACUCAUGGGCUUCAUGAAUAUAGUAGAAAGGGAUUUCUGCACAUCCCUGCCUACCUUUGGAUUCCUUAAUUAGGUCUGGUCUGCUUUUCAAAAUAGGGAAAUGUCUCCUGUGUGACAUUCCUCUGGACUCCCUGCUGCCUUUUUUACCACCACCCGUUUUUUUUUUUUUUCAAGUGGAGCAUGGGAUUCCUUACCACUCUCAGUUCCCAGUUGCUGGGGUGAUGGACCAUGGAGGCUUCCGCCUGAGUGUUACUAUCCUUGUGUUCGUUUAUCCACUCAGGAGAAGAGGGCAAAGCUAGUUUCCUACUGACACUUCCCCUGGAUGUUUUCUGCCUAGGUGAACCACACUCAAUAAAACCAAUGAUCAAGUAUUAUUUGAGGCCAGCCUACAUAAGAUCCUCCUCAUAAUUCUAAGUUCAGGAUGACAAUGCCCUGUUCAUAUGGUUGUGUGCAGUAGGUGCCUCUGUUCUCGUUAAUUCCAAUUGCAGAAGAUUCUUUCCUGCUUCUAGAGUUGGGUUUGAGAGACUUUGUAAUACUGGUAAUGGGAAUGGGACUUCUUUACUCUGUUCCUAUGGUUGGGUGAAUGCUGCUUGUCCUCCUCAUAAUUCUGGAUACAGGAUGUCUCUACCCUACAUUUACAGUUGAAUGAGGUAUGAUUUUGCCUGUAAUAUUGGCUACAGCUUUCCCUGUUCUUAUGGUUGAGUUGAGGCAAUGCCAAGACCCUGUAAUGUUUUGUCAUACUUCUUGCUCCCAUGGUGGUUUUGGGACUUUGUCCAGUUACGACCAUUUGCUCACUACCUCUUCGUAUUUCCAGUUGCUUGACGUACGGCACUCCGUUACUUACAGUUGGGGUUGUUGGGUAUCAUUAACAUGGUUCACAUGACCUAGUCACCUGAUGUUAUUAAAUUUUUUUUUUAUCUUGCUAUAUAUUCAUACAGCUUGCACCUUCUUAAUGCUCUUACAAUUGUGCAAGCAUUACCUUUUCUGCCCAUUUUAUGUUACUUUCCCAAUUUAUGGGCAAAUAGCAUACCUACUCCAGAAGUAGUGUGGUACCCGACAGGUGUGCUUCAAUUUAUCUCCAAGUGCAACCGUGCAUUCUGGGCAGUAGCUUUCCACUUGGUUGGUUCUUUGUGUGCCUCCACCGGCCCUCCACCUUUGCAAUGUGUGGUACUAGCCUUUUGUGUGAGAGAAGGUAAGUUAAUAUUUUCUUACACUGAAAAUGUACUUCUAAUAGCUACUUACCUCCAGUCACACACUUCCCACCCUUCCUCCCCACUAAAACUAGUGAUUUUGUUCUAGUUCUGCCAAUUCUGGAAAGUGAGGAUUGAGCAAGAAUAGCAAUAGGAGCUAGUUGCACUGUUAUAGGUUGUGCAGUACUAUUGGUGGAAAGUAGUCACAUGAUAUAUAGAUGUCCAGAAAUGGUGCAAAACUUUUGAGGUAUAAAGACUGGUGCACUGAUUACUAAAAUUAUUCUAUCAAUGCUUAGAGGGCAGUCAAUGAUUGAGAUAGCCUUUUGUGUGGGAGGAGGUAAGUACCUAUUGAAAAUACAUUUUCAUUGCAAGAACACGUUAACGUUCAUACCUUCCUUAGAAACUUUGACAUUCUAUGAACAGUUUCCUUCUUGGUUUCAUGUUUAUUGCAAGAACAAUUUAUUUUCAGUGGUGUCUUUCCAACUAGGGCAAAUGAAUGAAAGUAGUCCUUUCAACCAGAAUAAAUGAGUGAAAGUAAUAAACAUAUAUGAUAUGUGUUUCAUACAAGUUUAAAAUUUUCUAAGGCAUUUUCUGAAUUUUUAUGAAGGAAGAAAAUACACUUCCUGAAAAAUUUCAUGUAUAUUGCUUAUUCACAAUAAUACAAUCCAUUUAACAAGGUGUGAAAUGUCACUGACCUGUGCAACUAUUUUGUCCAAGGUCAUAUAAUAGAAUUGAUUAGUCUGAACUAUAAAUUGAUCUACAUGUUUCAUCUUUAAAACAACUGUAAAAAGCUUUAAUAUUUAACUUACAGUAGGGUAUUCUGUGCAUUUAUUUGCCUCUUGCCAGAGCAGUAUAUUUUAAGAUGUGUGUACUGAGUGUAAGAGAACUGGUUGAUUUUUAUUAUGUUUAUAAUAAUUGAGACUGCGAUGGUGUUAAGAGUUGAACUUUUAUUAUUAUGGUUUCAUAUUCUAUUGGUAAUAAGUGUGUUAGGCUGUAAAUAAAUAGCCAGUUAUAUAUAUAUAUAGAAUAAUAUUAAGAAUGGCAGGAUUAUAGUAAUUUUUGAAUCUGCCCUCAGAAAGGCAGUAUUAGUAAAAAAUAGUUUAGUUUCUCCCUUUUUUGCCAUAGUUUAAUAUUUUUAGAAUUGAAAGAGUCCUCCUGUUGAAUGUAAACAAUUUAAUUUAAGUUGGUGUAAGAGUAAAAACGUUUUGAAAAAUAACAUGUACUGAUUUUAUUUUAUUAUUGAGGUACUUAAAGAAAAUGACAGAUCUAAGUUUAAUCUAACUAUGUAUUAUAUAUAUAUAUAUA
rnacentral:misc_RNA from 1 species